ACAUGAUUGUGACAUCACAAAAGGUCCUUCACCUCCAACAUACUGCAAUUACAGAGCAUGUUCUGGUAGUCACUGCCAUUGUGUUGUGAGGGGAGAUCUCUGCUGUCCGACCAGAACCUGCAUGAUGUGAACCAGUGGGGGAGAACUCCAGAGAAAAUUCACUUAUCCCUGAUCCACAGGAGGCAAAGGUCUUCACAUGAGACAAAGAUAAGACAAUUUUACUGUACUUGCCAUACCUCUUCCAGUAAGGCAAAGAGGAUGAGAAUGCGCUGACAGUGAGGAGACGUCUGGAUGUCACAUUCUACAGACAGAAGUUUUAGCUGGACCAGGCGAGCAUAAGUUAUAGAAAAAUGAAAGGUGCCAUUACAAAGUAUAAUUGGUCCCGCAACAAACAAGCGUCAUAUGGAUCUGUAGAUGGAAAAAUAAGAGUUAUGGCUAUUAUAAGGCGAGGAAGAAAAAAACGAAAGUGUAGAAACUCAUAAAGACCUUAGUUACAUACUAUUUUGGUUAAAAUUAUUUUGUUUACCAGGACAAGUGGAUUUUGAUGGGGGACAAGUAGAUUGUGUUCUGUUUUAGUCCCUUGGACAAGUAGUUUUUUUUUAUAUUUUUUUAUUUCCACACCCCUGUAAGACCAUUUCCUAUGAUAAACCUAUGUACCUCUAACUAAAUCACAGUUAGCAAAUAACAACGUAAUAUAAGGAGGAAAUAUCACUAUACAUAUUACGAUCAUACUGUUACUGACCAAAUCAUGUAUACUGAGACCAAUAUUACCAAUGAUUCCGGUAUACAAGAGGAAUAUUAAUACCAUCAUACUGUUAUGGACCCAAUCUCUAUACCCAGAAUGAUAUUACCAAUAAUACCAGUAUACAAAGAGAAAUAUUAUCACCAUACAAUUACCAUCGUACCGUUACGGACCACAUCCUAUAUACUUGUAAGAACCCGAAGGGUUAAUCUGCACUGAGGUCUUUUGUUAUUCUGGUUACUGUGGAAACGCCCUGUUUUCUGGAUGGUCAGCAGAACUCGUUGGCUUUUCACCUACUUAGCUCCCUAUUUAAACCCUCAGUAUUCAUCCAGCCUUUCCCUGCGAAAGAGCUUAUACUCCUAGCUAGCGUUUGUACUGUAUCUUGAAUUUCUGGCAUAUUUUACCCAUUGGCUCCGCUUUCUGACUUUUCUCCUGUUUCUGCGAUUUGGCUUUUCUGUUAUCUCUUGGUACUGACUCGGCUUGUGGACUGUGACCUAUUGUGUGUGUGUGUAUGUUUAGUUAUUAAUUCUGUUAGUGUGUGUGAUUCCAUUCAGUGUCCCGACCUCUGUCUGUAUUGUAAGUUUACUUUGUUGAUGUUUUACUCCCAGCACUUAUUCAGGCAGGGACUGUCACCAUGGUUGUGGACCGGUCGCCUAGGGCGGGUACACAAGUAGGCAGGGCAAGUGGGAGCGGGUGAGUUCAGGGCUUCACUGUUCCCUGCCCAUACAUGACAUACUGAGAACAAUAAGACCAAUUAUCUCCAUAAAAAUUACCAUUAUACUAUUACUGACUAAAUCCUGCAUACUGAGACCAAUAUUACCAAUAAUACCGGUAUACAAAGAGGAAAUAUUCCCUGCAUACAGUGACCAUAUAGUGGUAGAUACCAGCUCUGUAACUUCCCUUUUUUUCUUCUUUAUCUGGCCAAGACCGUCAUAAUGAUAGAUAGGGAAACCAAGAGCGACUCAGCCCCCCCCCCCCCCUCCCAAUAAAAUUACCUCUGUACAUUCAACAGAGGUUAAAGAGCAUGCUUUCAAGCCUGCCCUAUACAAAGAACAGGGUCUUGAGAUGUUCAUCGUGGCUAUGUCCUAGAGGCUUGCAGUAAAGCAUAUCACUAAAUCCUGCUAAAAAACAGCUCAGGCACUUUCACUUUUAUACCACUAACUUUGAUAUUUUAGAAUGUGUCUCUGAUGGUAUACUUUUCACUAACCUAUUUAGGAAACCCGCUUCCACAAAUAGCUUUUAAUGGUUGGAUAGUUUUAUCUACAGUCAGUUAAACAGGGGAUUACCAAGAGGUAAGUGCUCAGAUUUAAGCUACAGCUAUAUGGGGACGUUGGCUGUGAAACGGGUCAACCAGCCAAAGAUUGCUGUAUCAAAGCUACUAAAAGUGAAUAGGAUGGCAACCCGGAAGAAGCUACGACCAGAAGUCCAUCUGCAAUAUUACAGUCCAAAUCCUGCUUCCAAAAAAUAUCUACAUCGCACUUGUACUGUUAUUUUAUGAAUGAAUUGAAUGAAUUGUGAAAGUGCAUGUAAUAAAUCCAUUCACUAACAGCUACAAAUUCUUUG